UUUCCGUAGGUGAACCUGCGGAAGGAUCAUUACUGAGUACUUGCCCGUAGGGGUAGAUCUCCCAUCCAAUGUUUACAUACUUUGUUGCUUUGGCACGCUUGCCUCUUGUGCUACUGGCCUUGGCUAGUUAGUGCCUGCGAGAGAACCAACACUCUGAGUCAUUUAUUGUCUAAAGUACUAUUUUACUAGUUAAAACUUUCAACAACGGAUCUCUUGGUUCUG
rnacentral:misc_RNA from 1 species